UAUUCUCAAACCAGAUAUCAUUUUAAAAUUAUAGUACUUUUCUGUCGAUUUGGAAAUACGCUUUUAAUUUAUCUCAAAAUCGUCUUCGUUUUCGUCUCUUCAAUAUGAUAAGUUCAUUUGGCGUCCCACACCGAAGUGUUUUUACCCUAUUGAAAAGGCCAGGAAUCUGGAGUACACAACACUUUAAAUAUUAUGCCAAGGAAAUUUAUGAGCGAGGCAAAGCUAGAGAGAAUACGUACUUUCUUAAAAUUCAAUAUGAUCAGUUAAUUAGACUAAAAAACAAAUUUCUGAAAAGACGCGAGCAACUGGAUAAAGCAAUCGAAGAAUUGACAAAGGCUGAAAAAGAACGUUGAAAUACAAAGCUGCGACAAAUUCUACUAAAGAAUCAAACGAUAUUUAUUUAUAUAUCUUCUCAGUAAUCCAUGAAAAUAAUUUCUUACUUAACUUAUUGAAUUCGAAUUUGGAACUUAGCUCAAAAGAUAUUUCUUAUACAAUUCUAAAUUUGAAUACUGCUGGAAGAUGGAAAGUUUAUUUGGAUUUCGGUUUAAAAGUACUGACAACUUUUUGAAGCCACAGCGUUUAUUCUAUGGUCGCGAAUACUCUAAGAAAAUAUAUGAAAAAAGAAUUGAAAACGAUAAUGUCUAUUUUCUGAAAUUGCAAUAUGAUCAAUUGGUUGUAUUGGUGAAGGCAAAAUUCAGGGAACAAAAGAAACUCAAAAGGAAAAUCAAUAAAUUGAUCAGCCAAAUCCAAACUGUUAAGGAUAAAAUUGAUGAGCAAGAAAAUAAUUCUAGUGAAAUCGAUUUCUAAACCGUGCCGUUUUCGUUUCCUUGUCAAUCCCAGUAGGCGCCUAAAAAAAGAAAAGAAAAAAACAUUUGCUUUCUGCUUAACUUUCAGAUGUAACCAUUAUUCGAAAUUAUAAACAAGUUUACGAAUAUCUAAGAUUUUAUUUUGUAUUUGAUUUGAUUUUUUUUUGUCUGUCCAAAUUCUAAGGAUGCAGCCAGCUUUGCGAUUGGUCAAGACUUUAUUUUUUUCGAAAAACAUCAGAAUGUGCAGCAUGCGCUCAUAUUGUAAGAAAAUUCAACGAUGAUGGACACGAUAGAGCUAGAGCCUUGGAAAAUUCGCACUUUUGGAAAAUUCAAAUUGAACAACUCAGACAACUGCGUUCGAGGAUGGUUCAGAAAACAAGAUCUGAGACAAUGAAGGAUGAGCAAAAUCUGAAUAGUCAAGAUCAGCGAAAGCAAGUAACAAAGUAAACAAUUGAAUUCGUUUAUGGUUGAUGAAGUAAAUGUGGACAAAAUGUACUGUAUCAGGCUCAGAUGUGUGGCAGCUCAUCCCAGACACUGGGGAAAUCGGUUUCCACAACAGCUGCGCCUGUUAACAGACGAGGAAAGUAACAAGAAUCGCGAUAAGAAGUAUGGAAAACUUUGGAAUAAACAAAUUGGGGAAUUGGUUCGAAAGCGCAACAUGCUGGCGUUGAUUGGCGAGUAUGUUGAGCUGCAGGAGAAGUAUGUGGACUCCAGGCUACGCAGCAAUAAAAUGCUAAUCGAAUUGGCCAAAGCUGUGUGGAGUUACGAAACCUUAUCCCAUGGAAAGAGCCAAUGAUAUAGAUAAAAAGAAAAAAACACUUUCGUAAUCGAAUCGAUAUAUAUUAUUGUUGAUUUUUUAUUCAAAAUAAUUUGCAUUUCUCAUUUACAAUCUGAAGCCAAUAAACAAAUUAAAAUGCUGCUUCCAAAGA